GAUAUAAUUCGAAAAAUCGAAAAAUAUCUGACUCAAUGUAUCGAGCAUCGAGCUAUCGGAAAUCGAUCUAUUGAAUGGUCAGCUAUUCACGGACUUGAGUGUACAGAGGGCGCAUUGCGCGACCGUUUUCGAUCUCUUUGCUCCGAGCAACCGCCAUUAACACAUCGAUCGACAUCGCUCUGCUUAUUACGCGUCCUUGGUCAAUCAAAAGUGAGUCUCGUGUGGAAACAAGUGCCGGGAAUGCCGGAAACAGCGAUGUGCGAUCGUCGAGAUGUAACGAUGGUUUCACCGUGCAACCACUGUGUGCAACAAAAUACUUCGACUACACCAUCUGACCACCAGCGCGAGUUCUGAUUGCCUUCUACCUCUCUGCCUUUCUGCUUUUGUGCUCAAAUGUGAGAUCGGGCGGAGAUUAUGGCUACAUGGCGGAGGCGGUUCCCGGGAGGUGCAGAUUCGAUGAGUAUGGAGGCCGCACCGGAGGAUCCGGUUCGAGCCGUGUAGGAUCGGCUCGAAGAAUUGUAGCAGAACGCGGCCGAUCCUCGGUGCAGAUCCUCGGUGAGUGAGAAAAUUCAGCACGAGAAAUGCUGUUUGUACUUUUUUAGGUGGUGGGUUAGUAGGUGACGGGAGUUUACACAAUCUCGUGGAAAUCAAUGCGAUUUACAUAGUUUAUAAAUUCCUGCAUGUACACUGGGAGA